rnacentral:tRNA from 1 species
GAGAGUAUAGCCCAGUGGUAGAGUGCGUGCUUAGCAUGCACAAGGUCCUGGGUUCAAUCCCUAGCACUUCCA